GAUUGAACGCUGGCGGCAGGCCUACCACAUGCAAGUCGAGCGGAUGAAGGGAGCUUGCUCCUGGAUUCAGCGGCGGACGGGUGAGUAAUGCCUAGGAAUCUGCCUGGUAGUGGGGGAUAACGUCCGGAAACGGGCGCUAAUACCGCAUACGUCCUGAGGGAGAAAGUGGGGGAUCUUCGGACCUCACGCUAUCAGAUGAGCCUAGGUCGGAUUAGCUAGUUGGUGGGGUAAAGGCCUACCAAGGCGACGAUCCGUAACUGGUCUGAGAGGAUGAUCAGUCACACUGGAACUGAGACACGGUCCAGACUCCUACGGGAGGCAGCAGUGGGGAAUAUUGGACAAUGGGCGAAAGCCUGAUCCAGCCAUGCCGCGUGUGUGAAGAAGGUCUUCGGAUUGUAAAGCACUUUAAGUUGGGAGGAAGGGCAGUAAGUUAAUACCUUGCUGUUUUGACGUUACCAACAGAAUAAGCACCGGCUAACUUCGUG
rnacentral:rRNA from 1 species